CAAUCCGGUAGCUGAAUGGAUCUCGCGUGGCAGGGAUUCCGCUUUUGGUGACGUGGAGAAGAAUCUUCACCGGGCAAGAAUCCCUGUCAUGUUGCCUUCCGUAUUCACGCCAGUAUUG
rnacentral:precursor_RNA from 9 species